GAGAGAGAGAGUCCGAGCUGCUGCACGGGUCGGAAUAACCAUUGUUCUGAGUACAGCAGGAGGAAAACGGUGUGCUACUGUGACACCUACUGUCAGAAGACCGGAGACUGCUGCGAGGACUACCAGCGCGUGUGCCAGUUAUCUGCCGUCGACUGUGUC